GUGAAUGCUGGCGGCGUGGAUAAGUCAUGCAAGUCAAGGGGGCCCGCAAGGGCAACCGGCAGACGAGGUAGUAACACGUAGGUAGAUCCCCCGAAGUCGGGCAUAGCCAGUCGAAAGACUGGGUAAUUCCCGAUAGUCCCGCAAGGGUAAAGGUUUUUCGCUUCGGGAGUUGCCUGCGUAGUAUCAGCUAGUUGGUAAGGUAAUGGCUUACCAAGGCUACGACGCUUAGGGGGGCUGAGAGGCCGAUCCCCACCGAUGGAACUGCGACACGGUCCAUACUCCUACGGGAGGCUGCAGACGAGAAUAUUCCGCAAUGGACGAAAGUCUGACGGAGCGACGCCGCGUGAUGGAUGAAGUGCCUUGGUACGUAAACAUCUUUUAUCGGGGACGAAGUUUAUUGACGGUACCCGAUGAAUAAGGGGCUCCUAACUUUGU
rnacentral:rRNA from 1 species